AUAAAGUGACUUUCAGCCCACUACACAAAAGUAGCGCAGUACACAGAAAGUUAAGAGUUAUCUCAUGGGUGGAAAAGGCGCAAGAGAGCCUUGUAUUCAGACUGACCUUUAAGCACCAAGAGAGCCCUUUGAGGUGAACUCAGAAUAUCUCACACAAAUAUGGUGUUGGUUGUUUGCAAACUAAGCUUAUAAUCUGGUGAAGAGGCCAGUUUAGAGAUGAUUGCAAAUCAUCAACUUAUUUCACAAAUCUCUUAUAUGGAUUUGCACAGUUUAAUAGGAGGUGAAAUGACCUUAUUUCACCUCGGUAAUAGAGCUCAAACUGGGGUUUAAUAAACUGACCUUAUGUCAUCUUGGUGAAGGUAAGGAAAAUAUGAGGAGAUAGACGUGGAAUUGCAAGGGAAAUCCAUAUACCCAGUUUUGUUCUUUGUGCAUGAAAUGAUACUAAGUAUAUUUAUCAACUUGUCUACAACCAUAAACCAAACAUGAAUGAUUUGCAGAAGUUUUUCUUGUUGCCAUUCAGAUUUCAUGAAAAAAGGUUUCUUUAUGGGUCUACCAGCAUGCCUUAAUCAUAUUGGGGUUCCAAAGAUUGUUUUAUUACCCACAUCAUCCAGCUUUAUCAUAGAGGAAGAAAGAAAGUAGACUUUAUGGGCCUGUAGAAAUGUUGCAUUUUCACAAUGAUUUGUGUAGUGGUUUAUAUAUCUAAUUUCACAUGACAGAAGCUUUUACAAUACAGUUGCAUAUAGAAUUGAUUUCCAAGCAUUUGAUCCAACAAUUUGCCAUGAGAGGAACAAGAAGAGGACUUGGUGGACAUGCCUGAAUGACACAAACUCGCAUACGCGCUAGUGAAGGGUGCACAUGGAGUGGUCCGACACUUCAGUCGCAACCGUGUAGGUGGACACGAAUGGUUGAGCAAAACUCAUCAUCGGACGACUCAACACAGCCACCGGAUAUGGUUUUGGGUACUGAGUUUCCUGAAAUUAGCAAUGAUCCAAAUACAAGGCCUGAGAACAAUGGUAGAAAGCUGCUCUCAUAUGUUGAUAUAAAUCACCCAAGUGGAAUUUUUUGAUGCGACACUACAAGAGCCUGCUGGAUGCAACAUAUGUGGAUUCACUCCCAGGUUUAAAUUAAUGUAUAGCCAUUUUGGUUAAUGUAUAACCAUGUUGACAACAAUUCCAAUGAGAUGCACACAUUCUUCAUCAAGUGUUUAGUGUCACUAAAUGGAGAUAGGAAUUUAAGUAAUUGCAUGACAAUUAGAAGGAACCUGCUAUAAUGUAUGAUGUGAAAGUAAAUGAAAUGUUCACAUUCAAGCUUUUUUGUAUGAAAUCUGGAUGGCAAUGUACAUGAUAA